UUUUUACUAGUAUAAAUAUUACUAUUACCUUCCAAGUAAGAAAUUUUCCUUUAGGAAAGUGUUUAA
rnacentral:tRNA from 1 species